rnacentral:rRNA from 1 species
AGUCGAACGCGUGUAGCAAUACACGAGUGGCGGACGGGUGAGUAACGCGUGGGAACCUGCCCAGUGGUAGGGAAUAACCGCGGGAAACUGCGGCUAAUACCCUAUGAGCCCUACGGGGGAAAGAUUUAUCGCCAUUGGAGGGGCCCGCGUCGGAUUAGCUAGUUGGUAGGGUAAUGGCCUACCAAGGCGACGAUCCGUAGCUGGUCUGAGAGGAUGAUCAGCCACACUGGGACUGAGAUACGGCCCAGACUCCUACGGGAGGCAGCAGUGGGGAAUAUUGGACAAUGGGGGAAACCCUGAUCCAGCAAUGCCGCGUGAGUGAAGAAGGCCUUAGGGUUGUAAAGCUCUUUCGGCGGGGACGAUGAUGACGGUACCCGCAGAAGAAGCCCCGGCUAACUUCGUGCCAGCAGCCGCGGUAGUACGAAGGGGGCUAGCGUUGUUCGGAAUCACUGGGCGUAAAGGGCGCGUAGGCGGCUUGACAAGUCAGGUGUGAAAGCCCCGGGCUCAACCCGGGAAUUGCACUUGAUACUGUUUCGCUAGAGUCCGGGAGAGGAUGGCGGAAUUCCCAGUGUAGAGGUGAAAUUCGUAGAUAUUGGGAAGAACACCGGUGGCGAAGGCGGCCAUCUGGACCGGUACUGACGCUGAGGCGCGAAAGCGUGGGGAGCAAACAGGA